AAGGGGGAGUCAGGAGCGAUUCAUUUCAAGGGGGCUUGGGGACAAUUCCGGUUUGGUUUUCUGAAAAUGCGUAGGGUUGUUUUCCCAAACUUCCGAGCUACUCUGCUCUUCGUCCCAGGAAGGCCAAGCAAAUAAAAGUCCGGGGAAAGUUCCUUUAACUUCCUUCCUGCGCCCUCGACAAGGGCUGCGAAGAGGAAGAGGUCAUUUCCCAGGGAAGCACCGGGCAGGGGCCGAGAGCUGCGCCCAGCCUGCAGGGAUGGAGGCGCUGGGCGGAGGGCUGGCUGCAGACGUAGGCCCCGGAAAGCCCCUUCCCCCCACCCUACCUCAGGCCAACGGCGCCUGGAGCUGGCCCCGCUGCAGCCCUUGCUGUUUGAAGUCCCGCGGCAAAGCGGCGACAACACCGGCGCAGCCCGGCGCCCCGACCCCGGCCGCCGAGCUCCCUCCCUGCAGCACCCCGGCACCCCAGCGCCCGGCCCAACCCGGCCCGCCACAUCCGCGCCCGCGCGGCCCAGCCCGAGCCCCGGAACGAUUCCGAGCCCCACGCCGGCGCCCGGUGGCGGGAGGGGGCGCCGAGCCCGCGGCUUACCUGCGUGCUGGAUCCCCGGGCUGCUCGGAGGGGUGCGGGGCGCAGGCGAGUGCGGCCCGCAGACUCUAACUUUGUUGCUCUCGGGACGGCGCAGUCGUCACUUCCUCGCGGAGCGGGCGGUGCGGCCCGGGCUGUGCGGCCCGGGCUGUGACCCAGCGGCUCGCGCGGUGGCGCGCAGGGCCCUGCAGCCAGCCGCCCCGCCCGCGCCCCCGGCUCCGCGCGCCCCUGGCCCCAGGCGCCGUCUCCCCACUCUGCGCGCCCUCGGCUGCGGGGUAGCGGGCAGCCCUGCGCUGCCGGCCGCCUAGCCUGCACCCCCCGCCCUGGGAGGGAAGCCUCGCUCCAGCCGCGUCGUUUCCGCGCCGAAGUGCGAUCCGGGGCCCCGCGCUGGAGUCCCCUGCUCUCAGGCUGGUCUGGAAGGUGGUGGUGGGGUUCAGGGUCCCCGGAAAGCUGGGGUUCCAGGGUGGCAGUUGCUGGAGUACCAGGGCACCAAGUGGAGGAUGUGGUAGACAGCCUCUAAGAUGCGCCCCCUGCCAAUGAUCUCUGCCUCCAGGGAGGAGCUAGAAGGCAGAGAGAAAGCCACUCAGGACUUCCCAUCCCAGAAGAUAAAGGUGAGGAAAGCAGCAGCAGCAGCCACAGGCCAGUAUUCCAGAGCAGCUUUGGGUUCCUGUCAAGACCUGCUUUGAGAAGGAGGUGGCUGUGGGGCUGGAGGGCUGGGCCUGUUCCUGAGCUGGCUGCUGGCAGCACAGCAAUGAGGCAACAUUGAGAACUGCGACACGAGGCCCAGUCCUGCUACUAAACCAACUGUGUGGACUUGCAUAGUCACUUCACCCCUCGGGCCUCCAUUUCUCCACUUUGGAAAGCAGUGUUGGGACGAUGUUAAGGGUUUGCAACCUUCCAACAUGAAGACUUAUUUUUAAAAGCAAAACAUUUCAAAGAGUCCACAUGACAGUAGUGUUCAUUUUGGCAUCUGUUGAUUUAACAAAUACAAAAUUAGGCUGGGUGUAGUUGCUAACGCCUGUAAUUCCAGCACUUUGGGAGACCGAGGCAGGAGGAUCACCUGAAAUCAGGAGUUCGAGACCAGCCUGGCCAACAUGGUGGAACUCCAUCACUACCAAAAAUACAAAAAUUAGCUGGGCUUGGUGGCACGUGCCUGUAAUCCCAGCUACUCGGGAGGCUGAGGCAGGAGAAUCAUUUGAACCCGGGAGGCAGAGGUUGCAGUGACCUGAGAUUGCACCACUGUACUCCAGCCUGGGCAACAGGGCAAGACUCCAUUAAAAAAAAAAAUACAAAAUUAGGCAUGGUGGUGUUCGUCUGUAGUCCCAUCUAUUUGAGAGGUUAAGGCGGGAGGAUCACUUGAGCUCAGGAGUUUGAGUUUGCAGUGAGCUGUGGUCUGCCUGUGAAUAGCUGCUGCAGUACAGCUUGGGCAACAUAGUGAGAUUCCAUCUCUAGUCUUUAAAAAAAGGAAAAAUACGGCCGGGCGCGGUGGCUCACACUUGUAAUCCUAGCACUUUGGGAGGUCGAGGAGAGAGGAUCACCUGAGGUCAGGAGUUCGAGACCAGCUUGGCCAACAUGGCGAAACCCAUCUCUACUAAAAAUACAAAAAUUAGCUGGGUGUGGUGGCGCACGCCUGUAAUCCUAGCUACUCAGGAGGCUGAGGCAGGAGAAUUGCUUGAACCAGGAGGGAGAGGUUGCAGUGAGCCAAGAUCGUACCACUGCGCUCCAGCUUGGGCAACAUAGAGAGAUCCCAUCUCUAUUUUUUUAAAAAGGAAAAAUACAAGGGAUACCAGAGCACUGGGCCAGUGCUUGUUAUAAAGUCCAUCAAUGGGCCAGGCACGGAGGCUCACACCUGUAAUCCCAACACUUUGGGAAGCCGAAGUGGG
rnacentral:lncRNA from 1 species